rnacentral:rRNA from 1 species
GAUUUCCGGUUUGAUCCUGCCGGACCUGACUGCUAUCGGAUUGAUACAAAGCCAUGCGAGUCAUUGUAGCAAUACAAGGCAGACGGCUCAGUAACGCGUAGUCAACCUAACCUAUGGACGGGAAUAACCUCGGGAAACUGAGUAUAAUGCCCGAUAGAACACUAUACCUGGAAUGGUUUGUGUUCCAAAUGAUUUAUCGCCGUAGGAUGGGACUGCGGCCUAUCAGUUUGUUGGUGAGGUAAUGGCCCACCAAGACUAUUACAGGUACGGGCUCUGAGAGGAGUAGCCCGGAGAUGGGUACUGAGACACGGACCCAGGCCCUAUGGGGCGCAGCAGGCGAGAAAACUUUGCAAUGUGCGAAAGCACGACAAGGUUAAUCCGAGUGGUUUCUGCUAAAGAAACCUUUUGUCGGUCCUAGAAACACUGAUGAAUAAGGGGUGGGCAAGUUCUGGUGUCAGCCGCCGCGGUAAAACCAGCACCUCAAGUGGUCAGGAUGAUUAUUGGGCCUAAAGCAUCCGUAGCCGGCUCUGUAAGUUUUCGGUUAAAUCUGUACGCUCAACGUACAGGCUGCCGGGAAUACUGCAAAGCUAGGGAGUGGGAGAGGUAGACGGUACUCGGUAGGAAGGGGUAAAAUCCUUUGAUCUAUUGAUGACCACCUGUGGCGAAGGCGGUCUACCAGAACACGUCCGACGGUGAGGGAUGAAAGCUGGGGGAGCAAACCGGAUUAGAUACCCGGGUAGUCCCAGCUGUAAACCAUGCAAACUCAGUGAUGCAUUGGCUUGUGGCCAAUGCAGUGCUGCA